AGGCGCAGAGCAGACCGUAGCAGGACCUGCUGGGUGACACUCAUUACCCAGCCCCGGCAGCCCAGUAGCAGCCUCUGGCUCACCCCUGAUCAUUCGCUGACUGACUUUUGAGGUGGAAUGCUUGUGAAAGAACUGGGACAAAACCAGGCUCAAGUCUCUACUUAGUGACUCCUGAGAGGAAGUGCCACUCAGCCUCUCUGAAGGCCUGAGGAUGGGAGGCAGCUGGACUUUAUCAUUGCCCUCCCAAGGGGAGCUAUGAAGAGAUUGAAGCCAUAAACCCGCAAAGCCAGAAGCUAUGAAGGCCACCAGCUGCUCACCAAGGUUACCACCUAACAGGACGGCAAAAAGUCUUAACAAGUUACCAGGAGAGCAGAUAAAAGGUUAAGGAUGACUGUGAUGACUUUGGCUCUUGUAUGAGCUUGAAUGGCCUUAAGGAAAAGCUUUGGAUGUACCAACUGUAAUAAGGAGAUUAAAAAAAAAAACUCCAUUACAGCUUUUUGUAAAACUUAACUGGUUGCAUAUGAAAGAACUCUGAGACAUAAGACAGAAGAAGAAAUUAAUUCCUUCUUUGAGCUCCUAUAAAAUUGACUUCCCAGGAUGGAGAAGGAAGCACUCUAAGACACUUGAAACUUUUUCUCACUCCACUAGCCUCAAGAUUCAAACAGUUCUUCGCUUCUCUGGAAAUGGAACAUUGGCAGUAUCUCCUACAGACAACUGGAUUUUCGAAAUGCAUGACUGUACAAAGCUUCCUCUUUUUUAGUCAUUGGGUGGAAUACUUCUAGAGUAUGAACAAGAGUGGGGGUACACAAGUUACACACACACACUUCUGAAGGCUGGUUUGCUCCAGACCCAGAGUAGAGAGGAAAAAUGAUUUUUAAAAAUGGCAAAUGAGUGGGUACUAAGUCAUCUGAGGGUCAUAAAGCUAAAAGAACAGAAUAAAGAAAGACAAGGUAAAUGGCCAAGAAACUAAUAAAAGAUACCUAAAAUUGAGGGAUGAAUUAAGGUCUUGAAUGAGAGGUUUAGACUUAAAGAAGAUGGAUUAUCUAGGUGGAUUUCAGUUUCAGGUAACAGAAAAGUCAGCUCUGAAUUGCUCAAGCAGUAGAUUUAUUGGCUCGUAUAUCAGGAAGCUCAGACAGAGUGAGGGUGACAGCAUUGCUGGAUGCUGAGCUCAAUACAUUGACACGAGUCUUGAUUCUCUCCCUCCUGGGUCAGUGUUAGCUCAGGACAAAGGUUUAUUUCACCGCAGUCAUGGGAGAGUCACAUGGUCCUCAUCCCCAUGGUGCUUUCUGUCCAUAUUUGAUGGGAGGGAGAGUCUGGCAGACAUGGAGGAAUCGGCCUCCCUUGAAGUAGUCAGGCUGUGGUAAUCUCUCUUAUCUGAACAGAAUCAGGACCUAGUAAGAAAAAGUAUGAAUGGACCCAGAAUAAGCUAUCGAUCUUUUUUACACCCCAGAGUAUUAGAACAGAAAACCUGACAGAUUUUAUAGUGUCCAAACCCCUGCUUUCUCAAGUGUGGGGCAGUGGUACACAAUGAGCAACAGAAAAAUGCAAUCAGAUCUAGAAAGUUCCCUUAAGUUCAAGGCUCUAAGUUCACUUGGUUGUCCUUGACCUGUUUUGUCUUAGCUGUGCUUCACAGUUUGUGUGCAGAUACAGCAUGACCUCAGGAAACCCGCUGUCCACUGAAAAUCCCACACAUUGAAAAUGUGUUGAUGACCCAUCUACUAUCAUGGCUCAACCCAACUUACCUCCUUGCCGCUAGAACCUUCUAUUACCCUCCAGUUGUGCAAGUCAUUGAACACAUACCUUCUUUUAAAGUAAUGAAUGCUCCAUGUGAUUUACUGAUGACCCAAUACUGUAAUGUAUGAUAUUUAGCUAGUUCCUCCUCCUACUGACUGAAUCGCUGGCCAGGAGCUGAGACUAGGCGCAAAUGUUCAGUGACUGCAAUACUUAAGCAUCCCAAGGGUAUGCACAGGACAUCCUAGCCUGUGCAACAAUAAAAAUUCCAAGUUAGAAGAAUGGGCUCUGGGAUGCCGUCUGGCGGUAGAGCACUAGCCAGGCAUAUGCAAGGGCCCCAGACUUGGUCUCCAGCAUUGAAAGAAAUAAAAAGGGGGUGGGGUGUCUAUUGGCUGUCUCCUGGUUUUGCACCUUUGCAGAGCCAAACCGUAGUGAGUCAGGCCUUGGUAAGUCAAACACCACCUGCAAAGCAAAACCUCCCCUCAGCCUCACAAGCACAGGAAGGGGUUCUGAUUCUGACGUGGUACUCAGCCCGAGCCCCAGCCUAUACGGCACAAAGUAUAUCCGCUGCAGGGGGACAUCCUGGCCCCCUUUUUUUUUUUUAAUCACAUUUUCAUAAUCUGCCAGGGUAACAGGAUCACCUUGGGAACUCAUUGAAAACACACCAAAAAAUUCACAGAGGCUAUGAGGCAAAAGUUGGCCGUCUACGUAAUUUUCAGUCGUAGAGCAGAAUUUGGAAACUGGGUAACUGAAGACAGAGAGAUGGGAGGAAGCCACUGCUCACUCCAAAAUCGUCCAGUUUGUUUUUUAAAAAAUCAAGUAUAUUUGUUAUUUUCAACUCGUCCCUCUUUUCUUUUUUAGUGUUUUUAUAACUACACUUCUUUAUUUUCUCUGUGUGUGUGUGUGUAUGUGUGUGUGCAUUCACACAUGGACCCCCAAUGUGCAUGCGUAGAGGUCAGAGGACAACUGGGGAGGAGGCCAGCUCUCUCCUCUUCCUGUGUGGCUCCUGGGGUUCGGCAGCAAGCACAGGUCCUGGGGUCGGCAGCAAGCCCCUUCCCACUGAGCAUCUCCUCAGUCAUCCUUUUAAUGUUCCCAAUGUGUCUAGAGCACAGCCAGGGCCUAGAGCUACUAAUCUAUAAUUUCUAGUCUUUAACUGGACACUCUGGAGGCCAACAGUGUUUGAGAUCAGUGGUUCUCAACCUGUGGGGGUGGGGGUAGGGGGCGGUCACAACCCCAUUUGGGAGGUCAACCAACCUUAUCACAGGUGUCACAUUAUCAGAUAAACUGCAUAUCAGAUAUUUACAUUGUGGUUCACAACAGUAGCAAAAGUACAGGUAAGAAGUAGCAAAGGAAAUAAUUUUAUGGUUGGGGGGGUCACCACAAUAUGAGGAACUGGAUGGAAGGGUCGCAGCAUUAGGAAGGAUGAGAAGCACUGGGUUAGAUUCACUGUCAGUUGUGGGGAAGCAAGCUGUCCCCUGAAUGAAAGCCUUGUGCCCAAACACCAGCUCCAACACCUGACGAAGACUCCGGGCCUCCUCUCUCUGGUUUCUGUAUGGACCGUGGUCUCGGAUACACUGUCCUUUCAUGUACAAAAUGAAAGAAUGUACAUGGGCAGAGUGGUUUCAUUAGGUUGGGUUGUGUUUAGUUACAUUUUUUUUGGUACUGAGACUCAAACUCAAGGCCUCAUCCAGCUCAGCAGACACAGACGUACUCCCUGGGCCUCUACCAGGGUCUUGUUGAUAAAAGGUUAAAGACUUCCACAGAACAUCCUCAGCUUCAUUUGGAGACGGGCGACAGUGAAUUCCUUUGUAACUGGAGGCAGCUGCACGCCGCUUGUCAUCGCCUGGUACAGAGGUCUCAAGGACAGAGACCAGAGGAGGACUAUGCAAUGUACCUUAAUGCUUCAGUGUGUGUGGGUGGGUGGGUGGGUGGGGGACACGCUUCCAAAAGCCUCUUUGAAGUCAUCAGAGGCCUCGUUCCUCCUUGGCUUUAUAACUCUAAGAAACAGCAAGUUAAAGAAAUUACGAAGCCGAUGGAGAAAGAUGAAAGGAUCCACCCCUCAAACGGUAGACACUACUUUCAGAAGGGAGUAGCCCAGGCUCUGUCUUUCAUAGCUGGCUGUGGUCUGGAGGAACCGCAAAGGAAAUUCAGUCCAGCCUAACAGUCAUUUCGCAAGAAUGUAUCCGCAUAGCAGGGUCACUAUGCUUCAUGUAGGAUGCAUUUUAAACUCCGCCUUUUAAAUUGGACUUAACAUCUGACUCUGUCAGGUUCCUGUGGUGAAUUGAUAAUGAAAUCAGAAGAGACGGGGUCCAUUGACUCAGAAGACCUGUGCCAUUAGUUAAGUCUUCCCUCUGUUUCUGCAACUGGCCUGACAUCCACUUAGUCACCUUGGCUUGGCACUUACCUGCGACACUAACGCUUAAGAGAGCGGAACUCAGAAUGGAGAUUGGGAGAUCCUGCAGCUCAUUUGCAUUCUUUUGCAAUAUGCUGACAGUGCUAAAUGUCUACGAAGGGUCUCAUCUGCAGGCAGAAAAUGCGUUUCUCACGUCAUCAAGCCGAAACUCACGAUCGCCUCGGAACUGUGUCAAUCACACAAAGAUGACCAGAAGGGGACCAGCUAAGAAUGAGGCCAGGAUCUACUUUUUCUUUUCUGUCUCGUGAUCCAAGCCUUUCCUGGAGUCAACGUGAAAUGUAAUUGCUCUUUUGACUCCUAUCUUCUCUCUCUCCGGGUCUGAGGAAGAGCUACACUGGUUGAUUAUUGCAGGAAUGAAAGGCGCUCUGACCUUGUCGACCGAACGCCUUGCUGCUUUCAGCGCUGCCCAUUAUACCGGGAGCAGGCAAGUCCUGGAGAGAGGCAGAAUCUAGAGCGAGCUGCUCCCUGGGCAGCCUGCCAGAAAAGGCUUCAGCAGCAGCAGUUGAGACAUUACCAAACAGCUCAGGCAGUGAAGGAAACAGCUUGGGGGGAGGAGAAGCCGAGUAUAUCAAAAUAUUGUUAGCACACACCUAAAGGGCUCUCGGUGUGCUAAGACUGCCCUGCCUCAGGCCCCUGAGCUGAAUUCUGACCUGAGAAUAUUUGCUGGGGAAGGAAGCAGCUAUCGAGUGUAAAGUACAGUUGCUGAUUUGCUGAGAAGCUGUGGUUCCCAACCUCCCUAAUUCUGUGACCCUUUAAUACAGUUCCUCAUGUUGUAGUGACCCCCAAACCAUAAAAUUAUUUUCAUUGCUACUUCAUAGCCAUAAUUUUGCUACUGUUAUGAAUCGCAAUGUAAGUAUCUGAUAUGCAGGAUAUCUGAUAUGCAAACCCUGGGAAAGGGUAAAUACUCACAGGUUGAGAACCACUGGCUUAGAUGAACAGUUGCUUCUGCAGAAGCCCUUGUGGAAAUAUUCCUAUGCAAAUCAGAACAUAGAGUGACUUUCCUGGCAGAAAGUAGGUCCAGGUAUUCACUUACAACAAUUGCUCUAGAUUCUAAAUUAUUCACCACUCACCUGCUUGGACUAUUUUUAGAAUCUGUGGUUGGAAUAAAGGUUAGGCUAGAACUAGUCACGGAAGCAGCCUGCCCCCUUUUUCCAGAGCUACAGUCAGAGGAAGCUUUGUUUAAAAUCAGCUGAGGUUGGCUUGCAUAACUAAUUUGACUCCAAUCAAGUCUAUUCAAUGAAAUGUUAUCAAGUGUUUAUUACGGGCCUAGGCAUUGUGGGAAAUACAUACGUGAAAUAUGAAGAGUACCUACAGAUUAAGGAGACCAAUCAGAUAUAUAAAUUGCACCAUUCUCUUCAUCAUCUCAUUUUGUACCUAAGAGAGCACCAGAGACUUGCAUGGUAUUGGGUACAUCUGACAAUUUUUAAGUAUGUCUUGUAAUUCCCACUUUCAAAGGAGCAGAUUUAUUGGGGCACUCUAGACAUCUGAAUUAGUCUGGCUUAAUUUCUUAUCUGCCUUAGUCUGUGCUCUGUUGCUAUAACAGACUAGUCAAGAGCGGGUAAUAUAGAAGGCAAUGUGUGUUUUGCUCACAGUUCUAGAGGCUGAAAGUCCAUAAUGGGGCAUCUGCCUCUGCUCAGCUCCUGCUGAGAGUCUCAUUGCCAUGGCCAAGUAGGCACAUGGUCCAGAGAGGGCUGAUUAAAUUUCUUCAGGAGGGAAUUCAGUCACAGGAGAAAAGUACCAAGGCACCCAGGAGGACCCUGCCCCCAUGACUAAUACCUCUUAAAGAUCCCAUCCACUCUUGAUAAUGGUGCAUUGGCAACUAAGCUUUCACAUGGAUUUGGGCAAAGAAAAGCUUUGUCCAACCAGAAUGAUCAACUCUGUGACUCCUCAAACCUGUGCAAUCUUGUUGACUUUGUUUGUCUGGUUUUGGUUUUAAUUUCACUUGAUUAAAAAAAAUAUAUUUAUUUUGUGUGUUUAUGUAUAUGUGCAUGAGUGACUGUUUGUACGUGAGCAGGUAGUUGACCACAGAGGCCAGAAGAUAGGGGGUAGAUCCCCGUGGGUCUGGCGGUACAGGAGGUUUUGACCUGCCUGACUUGGGUGUUGAGAAUUGAAUUUGGGUCCUCUGGAGAGUAGCAAGUGACCUUUACCACUGAGCGAUCUCUCUCCAGUCUCUAGGCUUUCUUGUUUUUCAAUUCUUUGAUAAUUUCAUACAUGUCUAUACCCCCUCUCCUAUUCCUCUUUCCCAAAGUAACCCUUCUUCCUCACAAGGCCUCUCCUGAAAUGAAUGAUAAGUGGUGCUGGUGGUGGCAAGGUCACGGUCAUGACAGAACCCAGUAUUAGUUUUAGAGCUUUAUUAGGAGGAAGAGGGGUGAGGGAGAAGAACCAGACCUGGGAAAGGAGCAGGAGAGCAGAGGGAAAGAUAGUGGGGUGGGGGGGAGAGAGAGCAGAGCAGAGAGAGAGAGGGUGGGGUCUGAGUCACGGCUCUUUAAGGGACAGAUUGUGUGACCACGCCACGUGGACCUGAUCACCAGCGCACACUGAUGAUGUAAGACGCAAGACCCUUUGCUUACCUCCUGAACUGCGUGUGUGCGGUCAUACAACACCUCCUACUUUUAAGUUUCUUUGUUUCCAAUGAAUUUAGUGAUGGCUGCUCACAUGAGCAGGAGGGGAGACUGUUCACAGAAACAGGAACAGUUUGUCAGUGGCUACACCGCUGAAGAAGAUACCUCCUCUCCCAGCACCCAUUCCUUCAGAGGUCCUCCUCCAGUGAGCCUCUGGCCCUCAUGAGCUCCUUUCUCCUGCACGAUGAGGUGAUGAGCCUGAACUUGAACAUUUCUUGUGGCGGUUACCAAAGCUUCAGUGAAUUGACGACUGCGAUGGUUGUGUCAUGUCCAGACUGAACUCUAUGUAGUCAAGGACAACCUUGAACUAACUUCAGAGCCUCCUGUCCCUACCAGUGCCCCCUCCCCGCACCUCCAUUGUGUUGGGAUUAUACACAUGUGCCACUGCCUCCAAUUCAGAAUCUGUGCAAACUUUAAAAGAGUCUCCACUUCUCUCAUCUUUGGUUGGCCUCGGUUCUGCAAUGGAGAACAGAUAAGCUUGAGGCAUUUUUUGUUUUUAUAGUUCUAUGAAAAAACACCAUUUUUCAAUCGUGAAUUCCAGAUUUUCUGGAACAUUCAGGCCAUCGUGUUGUAGCUCACCAUGCACACAAAAAUGGUAAUCCUUGUUAACUCUCAAAUUUGGGAAACAAAAUUUCCCUAUUUAAAAACAUAAAGAAUUACCACAGGUGGUAGACACAAUAGUUAAAGGCCAAGGAUAAAGGUAUGAAAAGAUCAUUUUCCAAAGAAGGGUAAAAUCAUGACCUUGCUAUAGAUAUAAAAAUGAACACAUGUUCAAGAUUUGAUCCUGGCCAUCAAUCAAAAAGGAGCCAGCAGAUACUGUCACCUCUUCAAGCAAAUCAAAAGUGAUACAUAGAAAAACGGGAUUGAAGUGAGGAUGGUAUAGAAGAAACCAGUGGGUUUCUUUUCUUUUUAUUCCCCCAGUGAUAGAGGAGUGAAGUCAAUUAAAUUUUUACCAGACAGGGAAGAUUUGCAUGUCUAUAAAUUACCCACAGAGAUGUAAAAUAGCUCCAAUGAAAUGGAAGAUGAGCUUCACCUGACAGAAUGGUCAAGGAAAGCGUAGAUGCCGAGUUUCCCACUCCAGCCAGGAAGGCAAAGCUUCCCAGUGAAGCCCAGUUUUCUUCCUUUUGUAAUGGAAAAGGCCUUCUGGGAUCAAUGGCACACUGACUGGAAAAGUGGCACCUUGGCAUACUAAACAUUUUAAGCUGAAGGAAUUUGAGACAGUAGAAGAAUAGGAAGGUCUCUUUCCUAAACCAGGUCAUAAAACCUAGGAAGGAUUCCUCUAAAGGUCAUAGGAUCCUCACAUGAGAGGAACUGUCCUUUGGUAAAAGGUGCACCUUCCUCUCUAAAGACACUACGAUCCGGCAAAAAUACAAACUAAGGAGUGUCUUGGUUGCUUUUCUCUUGCUGUCAUAAAAUACACUAACAAAAGCAACUUCGGGGAGAAAGGGUUUUAUCUUGACUUCGGAUGUAGAAGGAUACAGUCUUUCAUGCCUGAGAAGACACGGCAGCACACAAGGAAAGGCACGGUGGCAGGGACAAGAGGCCGUCAGGUGACAUCCACACUCAGGAAACAGUGAAUAGGAAAGGAGGGCCAGGCUUCGAAACCCCAAGGCCCACUCUAGUGACUCAUGACCCACUUCCUCAAUGAGGCUUCAACUCCUGAAGUUUCCAUAAGCACCCCAAACAGAGCCACCAGCUGGUGACCAAAUGUUUGAGCACACUAGCUUUUGGGAGAGUUUCACAUUCAAACCAAAACAACAGGCCUGUUAGUUACCGGUAAAUAUUGCCCUUUCAUCCUCCAAUCUUAUUUCACUGCCGCAGCACACCCUUCCUUAAGGCCAAGCACAAGACUACACAAGUUAGCCCACUUCUUCGUUUCCUUAUAAAGGCACGUCAGUCAGUCACAUAAAAGGUGUAGGAAAUCAGUGUCUUGGUUUUUUCUUUUGAUCUCACUUGGUGAUAGAAGCCUUGACUGUGACGUAAAUGAGAGACAAGAAAAGAAAAUAUGUGUACGCUUGUGUGCGUUUCCCCCUCUAGAACUGACCCUGAUACUGAAAUAUAUCAACACAAAAGACGGGCACUGUUAUCUUGACUAAAUCCUUGAGACCAGCGACACCAGAAGAGGAAGAAAGGCCCCAUGCUUCAUCUAUAUGACACAGCACAGAUGGCCAGUCAACUUCCGGUGGGCCUCACUCAGUGUGUUUGCUAAGUCCAAAGGUUAAACAAACGUGUGCCAUGAAAUAAAUGUUAGUAGGGCCUGCAUUAAGUCAAAGUUUCAGAUAAGUUGUCCCACAAAACAAUUGCUUGCCUUUCGUUGUUUGAACUCAGGGAUAAAGAAAAAUGCACUAAUAUCAGGUUGUUUUUAUUUUUUAUUUUAUUUAUAUUUAUUAUUAUUAUUAUUUUUUUUUGAGUCAGGCUUUCUUUGUGUAGUUCCUCCUGGCCUCAAACUCAUAAUCUUCCUGCCUCAAGCUCUCCGGUUUGGGGAUUGUAACUAUAAACCACUGUGUCUUGCAACCUCAUAUUUAAAAAACAAACAAACAAAUAAACCAAAAACCUGUGAUAGCUUGAAGGUACCACAUUCCAAAAACAGUACUAAGAAUAGUUGAAGAGAAAGACCAAUAAACCCAUAGAGGCGUCCCUCUAAUCAGACAUGGAUAGGGUUCAGGAUGUGCUACCCUAAAACAUGGCACCGUGGCAUGUUGACUAUUUUAAGGUAAAGGGAGUUGAGAGAAUUCCAGAAGCAGGGAAGUCUCUCUGACAUUCUCCUUUCCUUCUCUGAAGCCAGCCACCAAACCUGGGGAAGAUUUUCUGACCUUUGGAAGCAGGUUGCAGGACAUCAGCUGAGUCCCAAAGAAUUAGAGAAGAAUCUCAAAUAACAAGUAUGGUGACUCUGUUUCCUCACUUUGUUCCCAUUAAGUUGUAGUCUUUGGCCUAUCCAUACUUCUCCACAGCUACCCACUUUAUCAACCAGUGCUAAAAGUGCUUAGCACUAUCUGUUUCUUGGGGUCUUCAUUUUCUUACACGCAUCCAUGUUGUGUUAAACAUAUAACAAAUAAAGGUGUAUGCUCUGCUUUUCAACUUCUAAAAGUUUCUAUUGUCAGUGGGGUGUGGUGGUGGCACGUGCCUUUGACCCCAGCACUAGGGAGGCAGAGGCAAGUGGAUCUCUGUAAGUUCAAGGCCAGCCUGGUCUACACAUUGACUUACAGGCCAGCCAAGGCUACAUCAUGAUACUCUGUCCAAAAUAAAUAAGUACUUGGGGAAAGGACUUUGUCUUAGUUAGGGUACCUAUUGCUGUGAUGUAACACCAUGACCAAGAAGCAAGUUGGGGAGGAAUGGAUUUAUUUGGCUUAUACUUCCAUAUUGCUGUUCAUCGUCAAAGGAAGUCAAGACAGGAACUCAAAUAGGGCAGGAACAUGGAGGCAGGAGCUGAUGCAGAGGCCAUGGAGUAGUGCUGCUUACUGACUUGCUACACAUGCCUUGCUCAGCUUGUUUACUUAUAGAACCUAGAACCACCAGCCCAAGGAUGACACCACCCACCAUGGGAUAGGCCCUCUCUCAUCAAUCACUAUUCAUUACAGCUGGAUCUUAUGGAGGCAUUUUCUCAGUUGAGGUUCUUUCAAACAACUCUAGCUUGUGUCAAGAGACUAGUCAGCACAGGCACUUUGCUUUCUUCACACUACGUUAUUUACAAAAGAACUUUAGAGUUAGUAUUCUUCUGGUCUUUCCCAGAACCUCUGAGGUGCAGAAGAUAUACCAACACUGCGUUUCACCAAAAUGUCAUAUUUUAAAUAGUAACAUAUACAUGCCUUCUGAGUUUUCAAAAGCCCAUCGAAUGUUUAAGCAAAUGCAAGUUGGCAGGAAUGAGUAAAGAGCACACUUCUAAAUAUAGCAACAUAAUUACUGUCAUGUAAAUUACCUCCUCUAUAAAGCCUUGGAACAGUGUAAUAAAGGGCUUAUCUUGACAAAGCUGGGAUAAGUGGAGAGGUGGGUGAGUUCAGAAUGUCCACGAUUUCUGCAUCAUGACAUGGGGUGGGGAUGCCCUCUUUCAUUUCCUUUGUAAGGAGGAAGUUUAUGAUGUGUUGCUGUGCUAGUGAGAUCCUGUUUCCCUGCAGGAUCAGAUAAAGGUGGAAUUGCUAAUGACCCAUCUCUAGGGCAAGAAGGGGAGGCAGUUCUCUCUCUACACUAAUGUUCAUGGAUCUGUAUUUUAAGCCUCUCUCUGUUUCUUCUCAUCAUGAUGGGGGAGCUGUUUCCAAAUUUGCAUAAAGACAUCGCAAAUUGAGUUCCAUCAAUUCUUUUUCUAAAGUGCCAUUCAGACAAGGAAUUUGACAUCAUUGUGAUGCCUGGCCAGUCUAUGCUACCUAUUAUUUGAAUGUACUUGUCAUAUAAAAAAAAAAUAUCCAGGGCAGUUGAAUUCAACUAUCACUAAGUACGUAUUAGAUAUUUUCUCUGUGGUGUGGAAAUAGUAAACGACACAAGUGUCUUGUCCCUUUAAAAACAAAUUCUAAAUAGAAAGGCAGAAAGUUAAUUUAGGCUUCCUGGCACUAGCCAGCUCAGAAGGAGAAAGAGAGAUCAACAGUUCAAAGACAACCUAGGCAAUUCAGGGAGACUCUGUCUCAAAAAUCAACCAAACAGGGUCCGGAGAGAUGGCUCAGAAGUUAAAUGUACUUGGGAGCUCCAUGUUUGGUUCCCAGAACCCACAAUGUGGUUCAUAACCACCAGUAACUCCAGUUCUCGGAGAUCCAACGCGCUUUUCUAGGCUCCAUAGGCACCAGGGCCACAUGCGGUGAGUUUACAUGCAGUCAAAACAUUCAUACAUACAAAGUAAGUUCUUAAAAAUCAAUCAAACAAUAACGGAUAGUGAUAAAGCUGUAAUUCAAAGACAAGCUUGAUAAUGAGAAUAAUGAGGUGAGAUUGGGAGCAGAGUGGUAAGACAACACAGAGAAUUGUAGACUGUAGAUGUAGAGAUGACUUCCUGUCUUACACUGUCUUUAGAGAAAUGAAGGGAUCUACCCAGAGUCCUCAUAGGGCAACCAUUUCAUAUGCCAAAUAGAACCAAGACUAGGAGGCAGCUCUGGGCGCUGAAGCUAGAACACGGAGCAGGGGUGUAUGAGGAGCUCAGGAAAGGAGAGAUGAAAGAGCCAGCCUUUCUUCCCUGGUGUGCCAAUCACUGGACCUGCUGAAAUAACGUAGCAGCCGACAAACAGGAGGGGAGAGUGCAAAUUUAGUGCUGGGCAGCGUGAAAAGUGACCAUUGAAAGAGAUUUAGGAGCUUGCUUAUUUCUGCAUAGGGGAGAAUGAAAGCAGAUGGAGGGGAUGCUCGAGAAAGAGUAAGAGAGUUCGGAGGAGAUGGAUGGACCUGGAGCAAGAUGGCGUAACCUGGGAUAAAUUUCUCUGGGUUCUGGGUGCAGCGUCACCUUGUCCAUAAGACAAGCAUCGGCCUCCUCCACUAAUGAGCUACCUUAGGAAGGGAGUCCCAGCCAUUGACUAUCUCCAGGAAGAUCUGUCCUCUGAGGUCCAGGAGGAUACUUCAGAGGGACUCCUUGCCAGCAUCUGCUGCUCUUCUUUUGAAGUUGAGAGAGGUCAAUUUUCAGAGAUCGUUUUUUUCUGAGCCUCAGCAGAGUCUCUGACAGGCAAACUGGGCCACUGACUUCUUUUUCCCCCACCUUUCAUUACAAGCUUUCAAAGUCUCCGUAACAGGGAAACCGUGGAUGUAGCAAAAGUGCGGGGAAUGCUAGUAUGAUCUCCUGGUAAGGGAAACACAGUUGUUAACUACCAUCAUUCUCAUAUAGUAAAAAGAGUAUGAGAACGCAGAGUAAGAAAGACACUGUCUCCAGGGAACCAUUUUGAAGAUCUUGGUGACAGGAAGUAUUCCUUUGACUGACCAAACCAGGGAAGGCUCAAUAUCCCUCUCUCAACUUCCUGCGGCCCCCCAGGCCACGCCCUUCCCUGGGCUGAAGGACAGUGGGCUCCAGAGAGAACAGGAGCACCCCAAAACUGAGGUCACUCUUCUCUGAGUCAUCCAGAAGCACCAUCACUCUGUGGUGACUUGUGGCCAUGCUCCUGCUGCGCAUGCCAGCGUCACGUGGUGUCUGGGAGUGAAGUCUCUCAGGCUGAAAGGAAACCCUGAGCAUCUUCCUACACAGGCAGCCAAAGUAACUAUGAAAUAACGUUCUAUAAAGAUAGGGUGAAGCCAAGAUGCCAUUGGUAGAUGAAUGGAUAAUGAAAACGGGGUACAUUUACACGAAGGAUACGCAAAAAAAAAAUGUGGAAGAAUAUCCAGAAGGAAGGUGAUCUAAACACAGAAGGAAGAAAAAAGAAAAAUCAUGUGGAUCCUAGCUGGUAAUGUAAAAAUAUGGAUGUGGCUAAACCCUAUAAAAAAGGAGCCAAAAGAGGAUGAAAAAGAGAGGCCAAACACAGGCAGAGGGCAGAAGGGCACACAUGCCAUGAGAGCGGACCACGGUAUUGAGGCAGGAGACGAAGGAGAAAGAGAGUCAACCACGACAGGGUGACAAAGCUUGAAAAUGGCCAAACGAUGCCUAAUAAUAUGUAUGCUAAUUAAAAAUAAGUAAAUACAGGUGUGAAAU